GUAACUUAUCUGGCACUAUCUUUUGUAAAUAUAUUUUUGGUAAAACUAUUCACUUUUCCCAUAAUUUUGUGUACGUUUUGUGAUUGAAUUCCUCAGUUCUACAUAAAGUACAAACACUAAAGUACUACCUACUUAAUGAAAACAUUAUUUAUCUUAAAAAUUCUAUCUACAACUGUUACCAAUGGAAUACAAAGUAAAACUGAGAAAAUGAAUAAUUUGUAUACAGUCCAAUUCAGCACAAAGUGAAGCAUCUUUUAACAGUAAUAUAAAUCCAUCCAAAAUAAGCUACAAAAUAUAACAAAUGUGUUGUUUUACAUAUGCUUAAAACAGGCUGCUAAUAUUUGCAUCACAUAUAAUAGUAAAUGGAUUCACAUGUUGAGCCAUACGUCCUGAAAUGUAUGCACCUCACCACUCUCGGGGCUGUAAUAUGUGCUAUAGGCCAGGGUUGGACAAAGUGUUGCAGCUAGAGGAUUAUGGGAUUUUAAGUACACUGACAUUUGUAGAGUCACAUGUUGAAAUAAAUAGGCAGGGUUAUGAUGUGAUAUCCAUUAGUAAAUAUUAAACACAUCAGUGCAUUACUAAAAUAGCCAUAUUGCUUCAGAAUGUAUCAAUAAUACACUUGUACUAAUCCAUAUUGCAUCUU